UGCAAUGCCAGGCUUUUGACUUCAAACC
rnacentral:piRNA from 1 species